GCGAAAAUAGCUCAGUUGGUAGAGCACGACCUUGCCGGGGUCGCGGGUUCGAGUCCCGUUUUUCGCU
rnacentral:tRNA from 1 species